rnacentral:lncRNA from 1 species
GCUUGUCUCCUUUACCCUCACCACAGCACAGACUGAAGUCACCUGGCCAAGGACACCCAGGCCCUGAGCCGCGGAGCCGGCUGAGCCCAGGAGAGCUGCCAAGGCUCACGGUCACUCCCGCGUUCCCUGACCCUCCUUGCACGGCCCAGUCAUGUCCAGAGGGGGCUCAAGGGACCCUGGCAGCCUGAAUCCAGGACUGGCUCCACCCCAGCUCUUGGGGUCUCCAAGUGCCCCAUCCUCUCCUGCCGCCCCUUAGCUGGAGUUGAGCAGGCUGGAGGCUCUGGUGCUGGGCGCUGGACACACGUCAGGAGGCGAGCAGCGCCUGGG